rnacentral:rRNA from 1 species
GACGAACGCUGGCGGCGUGCUUAACACAUGCAAGUCGAACGGAAAGGCCCUGCUUUUGUGGGGUGCUCUAGUGGCGAACUGGUGAGUAACACUUGAGUAACCUGCCCUUGACUUUGGGAUAACUUCAGGAAACUUGGGCUAAUACCGGAUAGGAGCUCCUGCUUCAUGGUGGGGGUUGGAAAGUUUCGGCGGUUGGGGAUGGACUCGCGGCUUAUCAGCUUGUUGGUUGGGUAGUGGCUUACCAAGGCUUUGACGGGUAGCCGGCCUGAGCGGGUGACCGGACACAUUGGGACUGAGAUACGGCCCAGACUACUACGGGAGGCAGCAGUGGGGAAGAGUGCACAAUGGGCGGAGGCCUGAUGCAGCAAAGCAGCGUGCGGGAUGACGGCAUGGGGGUUGUAAACCGCUUUCGCCUGUGACGAAGCGUGAGUGACGGUAAUGGGUAAAGAAGCACCGGCUAACUACGUG